rnacentral:lncRNA from 1 species
AUUCGCCUUUCCCUGGAAGCUGGCCAACUGCUCCUUGCAGGCUCAACAGAGCAAGAAAGCCAGCACCAGAUAGUUUUUCUAUUUCGAGCUUCUGUGCCCUUCCCCACACCUCUGCUGUGUCUGCCUGUAUGCUCCUGGGGGUGGGGAAAGUAGUAUGCUUUUGCUGUGAGUAAUUCCUAGAUUCAUACAUUUAGACCCUGGGGGCAGGAGGGCAGCACUAGCAUGCCAGUCUGUCUUAAUAAAAAUAUAAAGCAGUCAAUAAAACAGCACCCUUGGAGCCCUCGAGGGCAUUGCAAAUGCUGUCAGUUAAUUCUCCCUAGAUUCAUUACACAAUGCUUUCUUUUCAGAGUUGCUGUGGACAGCCCCUGAACUGUUGAGAGCCCCGAGGGGCAGCAGGUUACGUUCUUUUGCAGGAGACGUCUAUAGCUUUGCCAUCAUCGUGCAGGAAGUGAUGGUCCGGGGCACUCC